UACGUAGGGGGCUAGCGUUGUCCGGAAUCAUUGGGCGUAAAGAGCGUGUAGGCGGUCCGGUAAGUCCGCUGUGAAAGUCGGGGGCUCAACCCUCGAAUGCCGGUGGAUACUGUCGGGCUAGAGUGCGGAAGAGGCGAGUGGAAUUCCUGGUGUAGCGGUGAAAUGCGCAGAUAUCAGGAGGAACACCUAUUGCGAAGGCGGCACUCUGGGCUGGAACUGACGCUGAGGAGCGAAAGCGUGGGUAGCAAACAGG
rnacentral:rRNA from 1 species